rnacentral:misc_RNA from 1 species
GAGGAGGAGGAGGAGGAGGGGGAAUGAGGAAUAGAUCCUUACAACCCCUAUAUCAUAUCUCCUGCUUUUGUUCUUGUGGGUUAACGUGAUUUUUUUCUUUACCUUCAUAUUUUUCUCUCUAGUAAGAUUUUGGAACCUUAAGGAGAUGUAAUUCAAAGUAUAUUUGAAGACAAAAUCUCCAAAUACAAUCUGCAGAAUACUCGACUGAAGAUUUGAUGUGUCUGAUAUUUGGAAACAACAUUCAUGUCUACCCCUUUCUAACACUUAUCUGAACACAAAUAUGAGAGAUUGAAAUAUGAAGGAGCAAUGAAUUGGUUCCAAGAAACUUAAACAUUUUACAUAUUUUUGUUAACAGUUGACUAUAAUAUUAAAUUAUAGUGAACAUAAAUAUUCAACUUAACAACCACAGAUGUCAUUCCGUCAAUCAAGGUGAUAGCAAAAACUGAAAUUAAAUAUAUCAUUUAACAGUACAAUGUGUACUUCACAUAUGAUGUGACAAUACCAAGAUGAUUGAUCAAUACCAAUAACCAAGAUCAGAGAUAUUCUCAUCUCAUUUUAUUUAGCCAUUAGCUUGGUUCUGAGAUCAAAAGAUCAGCAGUUAAUAACUCUAUCCUUCAGAAUAAAUGCCAGGAAUUACACAACAUAUUGGAAGGUACAAGAUCACAAUUACAAUUAGCUUCCCAAUAUUUUUUAAGAAAAAUAAAUCAUGACAAAGGGUAUGCAAAUGCAUGCAAUGAGAAGCAUAGAAUAGAGUCAAUUAGUAGGAAAAAUGAUAAAUAAACAAAGAUAAAGGGGUAUGACACAGAUAUUAAUUGGAAUAAAGCUUCAAUUAGCCCUUGAACUGUAGGGAAAUGUCCCAUUACGCCCAUAAUUAGCGUUCUGGCCAAAUUAACAAUUCUAAUUAGUCCAAUGAAAAUGCCAGUUAAUUUUUUUAUUCUUUUAAUUAAUAAAGCAUUUUAAAAUUUCAAAAUUAAGAAAGAAAGAUUCGGAAAAAUGCAGUAAAAAGGAAUAAAACUUUCAGAAAUAUGAAAAUCCCUUUGAACUUAUAAUAAAAAAACAACCACAAUGUAUAAUGUAUCCAUCGCUGUUUACCAUCAACAUAAUAUUCCUUCACUUCCCUCUCCAUCUCCAUCUCUGUAUCAUCUUGAUCUUUGAGAAAUGUAAAACCUUACUCAAACAGACAAGUUUCAAAAACCAA